GGGUCUCCGCUCUCAGGACAGACGCCCGCCGAGCCCCACUCGGCCUGGAAUUUCCUCGUGGCCCUGGGGCUUCACACGCCAAGGGGCAGAAGGUGAAGGGAAAACGUUUGGCCCUCCCUUCCUGCACCGCGCUGUGGAGUCCCCGCAUCGCUGGGCCUCUGACCUUCACAGGCUCACACCGCUGUCCAGCCCAGGGCCCUGGGAUGCAAUCAUGGUUUCUAAAAUGCAUACAUUAUACCUCAAUUUGAAAGAAUGAAGAAAAGAGAAAGCACAGGAGAUCUUUGCAGCUUAACGUUUUAAGAGUCAAAGCUUUUGGUUCGCAGAUUGCUCAUAACUUCCCACGGAAGCAGAAGAUCCCUGGAUCCUCUUGUUUAGCCAUUUGGGAAACACUCCCCCAACGCCAGGGACUUGCCCCAGGUCCUGUCUGAGACUUGGAAGGAGCUUCUCAUGCAUGUCAUCCCUCGGGUUCCUAGAACAAUGAUGUGGGGGCACGAACCCCAGGACAAAAGCAGUGGUUUAAUCCUCAAGACAGGCUCAGCCCUUCACUCCAGUUCCUUCUUGCUGCUGGGCGACCUUCUGGAUAAUGGAAUAAGCUUUCGAGAUUUUAGGAACCCCCUCAUCAGAUAACCUGCCCUUUGGGGUGAAAACAUCCUGUGCUGUUAUGAGUUAGGAUACACAGCUGUUCCUGCCAGUUCCCUGGGUCUCUGCCCUGACUAGCUGGCCCAGGGCACCCACACAGGUCUCCUGGAAAGAUGUGGGUGGAUGUCUCAUGUCAAGGCCCAUGGCUGGAUGCUGACCCCCAGCAUCUGGGUGCCAGGGCCCAGGAGGGCCUGCAGGGUCUGAUGGCAGACCCUCCCUGUCCUGGGGCCAGGGACCCAAGUCUGUGGGGCAUACCAAGCACCAUGAGACUGCAAGUAGAGAAGCUUUCUAACCUUAACUUCCAUUCCAAGAGUUUCUUUGGGAUUCUGGAUGGUUGAACUUAUGUCCCUGGUGCGAGGGCUUAAAAAAAAAAAAUCUGAAAAUUUGUAGAAGAAAUUGUGUUAAGUAACUGUUGGCUGGAUGGGUGGAGGCAAAUGGGGUGGGGGUUUAGGAACUCUGAUCCCUUAGGAUAAGACAGUGAGCCUGUUCGCUUGAAGGUGGACAGCUGCCACCUUGCUUACCUUAAAGUCAGGAAUGGAGGCCACCUCACUUCACACAGAAAGACACCCUUGUGACUGGCAGCAUCUGGCCUUGGGGGCCAGUAGCAAUGACACAUACUGCCUCACCUGCAGCUUCUCCUGUUGACACCCACCCACAUGAUCCUGGGAGCCUGGGAUAGGAGCGGGGCACUUGGCCAUAGCAGGGGUCUCCCAGAGAGCAGGUCAGGGGAUAGGCCUGGCUCCAGACUUGUCCAGACCAGCAGAAUACCUCUGCUCCCCUGACCUGCCACCCAGUGGGAGGGAGGAAGCAAGAUACUCUUCUCCCCAUUUUACAGGUGAGUAAACAGAGGCACGCAGAUACUUGUCCCAGAAUCACCGACAGUGGAGGAACCAAAGCCAAACUGUGUGGGGUGGGUGGGGCAGGCCAUGGAGGAGGGAUUUCUCUUCCUUUCCUCUGUGUCCUUCUUUCACCAAGGGUAGCACCUGGUCCUGUGUCCCCCAUGUCACCGGGACAGCAGAGAACACAACAGAUGUACAGGUGCAAAGUCAUAGCAGAGUCCCUCUAGGCUGUGUCUUUCAUAGAAAUUAAACCCUGAGGUCCUGCCUCCGAGAUGGUGACCAGGAGGAAGGGCCAUUAGCCAGUGGGUGUCCGGGUGGCAGGACGAUUACCUGAACAUUUCAGGCACCAGAGGCCCAGCCCCUCCUGACCACAUCCCUCACCUGGAUUCCAGCUGUGUUCUCUUGGGUUGGACACUUCAUCACUCUGAGCUUCAGUUUCUUUUUCUGCAAAAUAAUCUCAAUUUACAGCGUUUGGGGAAGCUCAAGCAAGAAAAUGGUAUGAAAGAGUGCUUUAUAAACCAUAAAGUUCUGUAUACAUGCCAGUUCCUUAUUUUCCUGUUCUUGCUGGAGACCUCCUGCCAAGGCUUUUCUUCUAGGAAGUAGCAAGUUCCCCGGCUUCUUUCUGGCUGGUGGAAGCUUCCCUGGUCAACAGUUACUCUGCUAAUUUCAUUGUAAAAAUAAUAUUUUUAUUUUGUAUUCAGCUCUGUGGCUCUGCUGUUGUGUGUUGCUUGGUUCAUGGCAUGUCAGAUUGUCUGAAUCCAGGAUGUUUCCUGUCGGAGGCUUGUUUGUUCAGUGAACAUUCCAUGAAAAUAAGCAUGUAUUUAAGACAAAAUUGAAGUUAGAUGCUACCACCCCCAAGCUCAACCUAAUUCCAUUUUAAGUGUAUAAACAUUUUGGAAAAUGUUGAGUUCUGUAGCAAAUGUACUUAAUAAUAAUGAUGAUAAUAAUGGAGCCUCUGUUUUGUUUUUCUUUAUUCCAAGUCUGAUAUUUAAGCCUCCCUGGGGGUGCCCAGAAGCCUUCUGAGGGCCCCCAGGGUCCCCAGAGCUGGUGGCCUCCCGCACGCCUCACCCAACAACUGGGAGUCAAGGCCAAGCUCUGGGACCUGGAUGUGCGGAACCCUGUGGUGGAGACCCAGGCUUCUCGGGUGAAGGUCAUUGUCUGAAGUAAGGAAACAGUGAGGUUCUUCAGUGGCUCAGCAAACAUGACCUCACCUCAGUUGUCUUGGCUAUAAAAUGGGCUGAAGUGUCCCUGAGGUGAGAGAAGGUUAACUCUACUGUGACACCUCCCCACUUGUGUCCAUGGAGUGGAUUCCACAUUCCAUGUGAGUCAGUCGGUGUUGCCCGAAUCUGACUUGAAUUGGGAACUACUUCCCUUUCGUGGCCACUCACUGUAACUUAAGACCCCUCACAUACAGUCCAGGCUACUAUGUCAUUCUCUCCUCAGGGAAUUACACAACAAGCUUGCUGCGAGUUUUCAUCAGUGAUUACUUACACCAGAGGGAGGAGCACCGGGGCCCGAGGAAGAGCAGCCAGCUGACACUCAGCCACAGUGGAGAAGGGGCCCUAGCACCACAUCUUUCAGCCACUUUCUUUUUUAGCCCUGCUGGGCAUUUCUGGCCCUGAGGGAAGAUCUUCCACACACAGUAUUGGUCUGGGGUAUAUCAGUUUUAGACCAGGUAGAAGCAGAGAACUAAGUAUGUAAAAGCAAAGAAGAUACAUCAAAGUAUUUGUGGGUCAGGUCUUGAUUGAGCCUCACACACACGCAGCCUAACAGUUCAUGGCAACUGGAACUUCCCCCCAGGUCCACCUUCCAUGAGCAACCCUCUAGUGAUUAAGAAAUGUGACAAGGCCAGGAGAGAACAUGGCAGGUAAGGUAGAGACCGCUGGUUGGCCACCCAGUUCUUAUCUUCUUUCUUGCCAGUGGAACUGCGUCUCAUUGAGGGUAGCAGUGUGCAUUGAUAAAACAUUUUCCAGGCUCUCUUGCAGCCAGGAUGGCUUAAUGAGAUAUAGGCCAAGUCUUUGGUUUGAGUUUUCAGAGAAAAUCUUUACAUGAGGGCUGAGCUGGCGACAGGCUCUUCUUUCUUUCUGCAGCCUGGAAUACGGACAUGAGGGCUGGGGCUCCAGCAGCCAUCUAGUGACCGUAAAGUAAUUCUGACAAUGAAAAUUACAUGAUAAAGAAGUUUUUACAUAAGGAGAACCAAGUUUCCUGAUGACCCUGGAAUCAGGCUUUCUGCCCUGGAUUUCCUUUCUUGGAUUUCUUUCAUGGGAGCAAAGGGAAAAUCCGUGUCUUAUUUAAGCUUACUAUUUGGGCUUUCUGUUAUGUGACUGAACCUAAUCCUAAGUGAUACAGCUGACUAUUUAGACCUCAUCCCAUCACCAUGAUUAGAAAAACAAAAUACUCCCUUUGUAUACAAAAAGCAGAACAUUAAAAA